rnacentral:rRNA from 1 species
GAUGAACGCUAGCGAUAGGCUUAACACAUGCAAGUCGAGGGGCAGCACAAGGUAGCUUGCUAUCUGGGUGGCGACCGGCGCACGGGUGCGUAACGCGUAUGCAACUUGCCCUAUACAGGAGGAUAACCCGUCGAAAGACGGACUAAUACUGCGUAUGCUCACAACUUGGCAUCAAGUGGUGAGGAAAGAAAUUCGGUAUAGGAUAGGCAUGCGUCCCAUUAGCUUGUUGGUGAGGUAACGGCUCACCAAGGCAACGAUGGGUAGGGGAACUGAGAGGUUUAUCCCCCACACUGGUACUGAGACACGGACCAGACUCCUACGGGAGGCAGCAGUGGGGAAUAUUGGUCAAUGGGCGCGAGCCUGAACCAGCCAAGUCGCGUGAAGGAUGACUGUCUUAUGGAUUGUAAACUUCUUUUAUACGGGAAUAACAAGAGUCACGUGUGACUCCCUGCAUGUACCGUAUGAAUAAGCAUCGGCUAACUCCGUG